GAUGAACGCUAGCUACAGGCUUAACACAUGCAAGUCGAGGGGAAACGAUAUUGGAAGCUUGCUUCCGAUAGGCGUCGACCGGCGCACGGGUGAGUAACGCGUAUCCAACCUGCCCACCACUUGGGGAUAACCUUGCGAAAGUAAGACUAAUACCCAAUGAUAUCUCUAGAAGACAUCUGAAAGGGAUUAAAGAUUUAUCGGUGAUGGAUGGGGAUGCGUCUGAUUAGCUUGUUGGCGGGGUAACGGCCCACCAAGGCUACGAUCAGUAGGGGUUCUGAGAGGAAGGUCCCCCACAUUGGAACUGAGACACGGUCCAAACUCCUACGGGAGGCAGCAGUGAGGAAUAUUGGUCAAUGGGCGAGAGCCUGAACCAGCCAAGUAGCGUGCAGGAUGACGGCCCUAUGGGUUGUAAACUGCUUUUAUAAGGGAAUAAAGUGAGUCUCGUGAGACUUUUUGCAUGUACCUUAUGAAUAAGGACCGGCUAAUUCCGUGCCAGCCGCCGCCGUAA
rnacentral:rRNA from 1 species